GACUUGCCCAGUUUUCUUUCCUGGUGAGUCGCCCCUCAUUAUGUACCCGCACCACUAUUCCGACGCCGGAUAAAUUAAAUGAGCAAAUAUCUAUCCCGAGAUCCAUAUAGGCACUUGACGUGUACAUAUCGAGUUAUUUCGUCAGUCACUGGCCUGCACAUAUCAUUAUCCCGUCUCAUUUGCCGUGUUCCUGCUCCGAAUAAGCUAAACUAAAUUCCUCACCAUGCCUGUCGACUUUUCCGGUAAAUGGGCCGUCGCUAAAUUCGACGAUUUCUCGCCACUGCUCGAAAAACUUCAAAUACCCGAAGACAAGCGACCACCACCCAAUUUCAUCUCCAAACUCACAGUCGAGGUGAGACACAAUGGCGACCGCAUCGAGAUCGUCAGUCAAACUUCGAUGGGCGAGCGGGUCAACGCGGUCGAGGUCGGGAAAACUUGCAAGUUCGUCAUGUUCGGCAACAUGAUCGAGGCGGACGUCACAGCUGCUUGGGAUGGCGAUCGUUUGGUGAUCACCGAUACCGGCCGCGGUGUCAAGCUCAUUCGCGAGCUGGUUGGAGACCAAACCUUGUGCACGUUCGUCUUGGGCGAUGUUGAAGUCAAGCUCUACUACGAUAGAGUGUAGAUCGUCGUCAUUCGCUCCACAUUUUAUUCAACAUAUGGAUAUUCCUAUCCGACAAUGAAUAUCGUCUGGGGUUCUUUAAAAUUUCAAGACCAGACUCUAGAAUCAGAGGUUAAGAUGGAUUUAUUUCUCAAGCUACCGAGAUGAAGUCUCAAUGUGAGGAUCGAUGUAAAGAUAAUCGAGUUCCAUGUGCCUCCCAGACUAUAACACGAGUCAUGACCAUAUACGGAGCGGCCUCUAAGAACCGCUUUAAGGAGACAUGGCAUUUCCCCCCCUAACUUGUUCCCAAGAGUUACUUACUUGUCCCUUACUCGUUCAUUCGACUUAAAUAAUUUAUGUAACUAGUUCGAUUGGAACGAGUUUUAAGUCGAGGAAACGAGUUAUAAGUCGAGGACCGAUUUAUAAGUCAAGGGAACGAGCUUUAAGUCGAGGAAACGAGUUAUAAGUCGAGGAAACGAGUUAUAAGUCAAGGGAACGAGUAAUAAGUCGAGGAAACGAGUUAUAAGUCGAGGAAACGAGUUAUAAGUCGAGGACCGAGUUAUAAGUCAAGCUAGGGAACGACUUAUUUACUCACGGGAACGAGUUAGGGGAUAACCAUGUCAUGUAACCUUAGGUACUCUGAAGUAAUGUAACCACAGGCGUUAAAGUUAAAAAUAAUUUAAGAUUUACGGGACAAUCUUUAACCUGAUAGCCUAUAAUAAAGCGACUUUAAUUAUUUACAAAGGCUCUUUACAAGUUAAGAGUCCCAGCUAGCAAGGUAUUUGAGAGUUUGCCCUUUCGAAAGGUAAAAUACAGGUACGUGUCCCAUUGAUAUCCCAUGCCCGAUAUAUAAGAUAUGUUGAAUAUACAUAAUUGUUUCACUUUCUUAUCCAAAUAAACAAAAUGAUCCGAUGACAACAUAUUGAUACGAAAGCGCCUGAAAAUGUGUCCGAAAAUCGACAAUGGUAAAUAGUAUCAGGCACCGUCAUACAGAUCGUACAGUUGUAGGGGGGGGGCUUGGAGGCUGUUGCCACUAUUGUAAAACUGAAAGUUACAAUUGGAAAUAAGAGUUAUCACUCUUGCUUUGUCAUCAUGUUUACAGAUUCUUUCGGGCUUUCUAUACUAAAUUUGUGAAUAAUUGUUUGCAGAGAUUGAAUAACCCACUUCGUAUGUUACACAUCUUGCCAUUUUUUUUCUUAAAAUAAUUUAACAUAAGAAUUAAAAUACUCAAUUUCAUUCUAGUGAUUCGUUUCGUACUAUAUUUUUUUUCGUGCAUUUUCGUUGACUUGUAUCUUAUUUUGGAUCGAGAACGUGAAAACUGCCUCUUUCGUUCAAGCCUUGAUAGAGGAAAUGUUGAAAUGAGCAUUAGAUAGAAUUAGAUGGAAAUUGGAAAUGUGUACUAGUUAGAAUUAGAUGAAAUUUCCAUUAGUUAGAAUAGAUGAAAAAUUUGUACUGUGUAAGUUUGUGCAUUAAACUUAUGUAAAGCAUUGGAA